rnacentral:rRNA from 1 species
UACCAGCACCCCGAGUGGUCGGGACGUUUAUUGGGCCUAAAGCAUCCGUAGCCGGUUCUACAAGUCUUCCGUUAAAUCCAACUGCUUAACAGGUGGGCUGCGGAAGAUACUAUAGAGCUAGGAGGCGGGAGAGGCAAGCGGUACUCGAUGGGUAGGGGUAAAAUCCUGUAAUCCUUCGGGGAGGACCAGUGGCGAAGGCGUCACAUUAGAACGGCUCCGACAGUGAGGGACGAAGCCCUGGGGCGCAAACCGG